rnacentral:lncRNA from 1 species
AUUAAGACCUGCUUCUAGCUUGAAAUAAGCCUUGAUUGGUGUUUAGUGCCCACGGGUGUCUGUGGGUUCAACCUACCUAGGUUUCAACUCAAUCUGGAAUGGAUCACAGGUGCUAUAUUCCUGUAAUAGGAAAUGGAAUUACUGAGUAUUUUGAGUCUGCCUGUUUGCCAGGCAUUGAACCAAAGCUGUUCACUCAGUAACAGGCUUACUUACAUGUGCUAGAGGUCAGCCUAUAUUACGUUGGCUUUUCCCUGCUGUGAUGCUGUGUAAAACUGAAUUCCCUCCUGAGGAAAUGCCUGUUGGGAAGAAGAUCUGAGGAAAGCAGUGAAGAGAUCUCAGUGUCGAAUCCUUUAAGGACCGGGGUCCUUCCUCAAUUAGUGUCUAAGAAACACCAGAGCGAUGGCUUCAUCUCUGGUGGCUCUCUGUUCCUAGUCCUCUGCACGUGGCUUUUUAAGCCUCUUCACAUUCUCUGAGAGGUUUCAUGUGUAACUUGUACUAGAAAUGUUAUUGAGAGUUGCCUAAACAAAAAAUUGUAUAAAGCAAUACUGUUGUAAAUCUAUUUUUUAAGGCAUAAACAAUUUGUAAAGUAUAUAUUUCACUUUGAAAUUUAUGUAAACAAAUUUUCAUGUUUAAAUACUGCUGGCAUUGGAAUGCACCUGUACAUUUUCCUUAGUAUAAGUGGAAUAUUGUAUAGAGCCAACAGCAGAAUGGAUAAUUCAGCUCCCUGUUUUGGUUUUGGGUUAAUUACAUGAGGUGAAGGCCUGUGAUCCGGUGA